UAUGACCAUGCCGGUGGCGUUUAAUAAUUAUCAUCUUAUUUAUGAUAAUUAGACAAUUAGACCGCGUUUAGACAAUGAAAAGAGGAAUUAAUUUUGCUGUUUUUUUCCAAUUUAUUACAUGCUAAGUAUACUGUUCAUUUAAUUAACCAUGCUAAGUAUACUGUUCAUUUAAUUAAUUAAUUAAGCUAGAAAUUCAGUUGUUGCUUAAAACCGCUUAAGGUGGCUCCCUACAGUUUUUGAAAUAUGACAAAAUUGUGAUUUAGAUUUAAUUUUUUGAAGAGAGGUUUCUUGUUAGAAGACAAAAAUUGUACCACAUAUAUUGAAAAAUCUUCUAAGAGUUGAAAAUUGGUCACAAAAAUGACGUCAUAACCGUUGCUAUGGUAACAAUGACGUUUCAAUAUGGCCGACAUUUUACCUUUUAACACAUUUUACUCGAAAAAAGGCCGGUUACUCCCAUUUCUUAUUUCGUGAAACGUUUUUAUUCAGAAAAAUGAAUGAUGUGAACAAGUUAAAAAAAAUUCUGUAGAUCCAAAAAAUAUUUAUCA